rnacentral:rRNA from 1 species
UACGUAGGGCGCAAGCGUUAUCCGGAAUUAUUGGGCGUAAAGAGCUCGUAGGCGGCCUGUUGCGUCCGCUGUGAAAGCCCGGGGCUUAACCCCGGGUCGCAGUGGAUACGGGCAGGCUAGAGGUAGGUAGGGAGAAUGGAAUUCCCGGUGUAGCGGUGAAAUGCGCAGAUAUCGGGAGGAACACCGAUGGCGAAGGCAAUCCCCUGGACCUGUACUGACGCUCAUGCACGAAAGCGUGGGGAGCAAACAGG